rnacentral:lncRNA from 1 species
UGUGUUAAAUUAGGCACUCCUUCCAGAUGACGAUGCUGAUGAAUAUCGCAUAUGGGGACAGUUUCCGUGGGAGCGUCCUGGAAACCCUCCUCCGUUUUUGCCACCGGCCGACACAAGGACUUUGUCACAUAUUGGUCGCUGGUGGAAUCAGGACGUGAACGGCGAACGGACCGGGAGGUUUUUGAGGCCGUUACUUGCGGAAAAUAAAGACGAGACCACCGACGAGUACCGUCUGUGGGGGAAAUUUCCGUGGGAGCGCCCAGUAAAUCCGCCACCUUUCGUGCCACCGCCAGACACAGCGACGUUCUCACAGAUCGGCCGAUGGUGGAAUCAAGAGGACAUUGGCGAACGACCUACCAAGCUUUCAAGAGAGUCAUUUGAAGAUGACUACGAUGAAAAGACGUUCAAGCAGAAGCCUACGCAAGAUGUUGAAGGAAAACGCAGCAAGUUUCUACCCUUGCUUCCACCAAAAGACCACAAGCUGACGAGGGUGGCGCGCUCAGUCUGGCAGAACAAACCUUGGGAGAAGCCAUGGAAUCCACCACCGUUCCUGCCUGGCCGCUACCCUCCUCUUCAGUGAAUGGUCCGUGUUUGCUAAAGACUAUGCAUCCACAUCGAAUACGAAACAAGAGACAUCCCGGCCGGGAACAGAAUGAAACCGAUUAACACUUUCGUUCCCUUGAGAGCUCCGGCCAAUGUUCACAGCGGCCGCCCACCAACAUACGCGCCACAAAACGACACUCAACUGAACGAGGCAGCGAAUGAAAAAUAAACGCACACGUCUGAGUCAUUUA